rnacentral:pre_miRNA from 1 species
AUGUACAGCAAUCUGUCUCUAAGUAGGGAAAAAUUACGCUUAAAAGAAGAAUAUUAGAGUUUUCCCUUCAAGUCAAAUAUCUUCU